GACGAACGCUGGCGGCGUGCCUAAUACAUGCAAGUCGAACGCUUCUUUCCUCCCGAGUGCUUGCACUCAAUUGGAAAGAGGAGUGGCGGACGGGUGAGUAACACGUGGGUAACCUACCCAUCAGAGGGGGAUAACACUUGGAAACAGGUGCUAAUACCGCAUAACAGCUUAUGCCGCAUGGCAUAAGAGUGAAAGGCGCUUUCGGGUGUCGCUGAUGGAUGGACCCGCGGUGCAUUAGCUAGUUGGUGAGGUAACGGCUCACCAAGGCCACGAUGGAUAGCCGACCUGAGGGGGUGAUCGGCCACACUGGGUAUGAGACACGGCCCAGACUCCGACGGGAGGCAGCAGUAGGGAAUCUUCGGCAAUGGACGAAAGUCUGACCGAGCAACGCCGCGUGAGUGAAGAAGGUUUUCGGAUCGUAAAACUCUGUUGUUAGAGAAGAACAAGGACGUUAGUAACUGAACGUCCCCUGACGGUAUCUAACCAGAAAGCCACGGCUAACUACGUGCCAGCCGCCGCGGUAA
rnacentral:rRNA from 1 species